rnacentral:tRNA from 1 species
CGCCUGCUGGCCGACGGUGAACGCCUGCGCGCCUUGCUGGCGCGGCAGGGCAUGACGACAUCCGGCAGCGCGCUGUUCCAGUGGUGGCCGGAGCC